AUUGAACGCUGGCGGCAGGCCUAACACAUGCAAGUCGAGCGGUAGCACAGAGAGCUUGCUCUCGGGCGACGAGCGGCGGACGGGUGAGUAAUGUCUGGGAAACUGCCUGAUGGAGGGGGAUAACUACUGGAAACGGUAGCUAAUACCGCAUAACGUCGCAAGACCAAAGUGGGGGACCUUCGGGCCUCAUGCCAUCAGAUGUGCCCAGAUGGGAUUAGCUAGUAGGUGGGGUAACGGCUCACCUAGGCGACGAUCCCUAGCUGGUCUGAGAGGAUGACCAGCCACACUGGAACUGAGACACGGUCCAGACUCCUACGGGAGGAAGCAGUGGGGAAUAUUGCACAAUGGGCGCAAGCCUGAUGCAGCCAUGCCGCGUGUGUGAAGAAGGCCUUCGGGUUGUAAAGCACUUUCAGCGGGGAGGAAGGCGGUGAGGUUAAUAACCUCAUCGAUUGACGUUACCCGCAGAAGAAGCACCGGCUAACUCCGUGCCAGCCGCCGCCGUAA
rnacentral:rRNA from 1 species